AAACAAUAGCAGCCCCAACCACAAGCGCUGACAUCAGCAACGACCCAACCGAUGUGAGGAAAACUACCAGGAUUGUGAUCAGUACAAGCCCGCCGAGCGUCUCGCGGUCCGAAAACGUACGGCCGAGCACGACGAGCGGCGGAUCUGAGGGGCGGAAAAGGUAGAGCAUGCACCAGGCGCCGAGGAGCGAGAGGAGAACAAGGAGGGAGAACGGGUGGGAGAGGAGGGAGAGGGCGAGGACGACGGCGAUGAGGGCGAGGUAGUUGACACGGAAGUAGGAGAGGUUUUUGCGGACGCGGGAGGCGGCGUCGGAGAGAGAAUCGGGGCGGGAGAGGGCGGAGCGGUCGAGGAGCUCGGACCAGGGGCGGCGGUUGGCGAGGGAGCGUCGGACGGAGUCGGAGAGGCGGGAGAGGAAGAGGCGAAAGGCGGGGGUGGAGAUCGGGGCGGAGGAGGGCUGGCCGGCGGCGUCGGCAGUGGUGAUGGGGAGGG
rnacentral:misc_RNA from 1 species